GACGAACGCUGGCGGCGUGCUUAACUCAUGCAAGUCGAGCGGAAAGGCCCUUUCGGGGGUACUCGAGCGGCGAACGGGUGAGUAACACGUGAGUAAUCUGCCCUGGACUCUGGGAUAGCCACCGGAAACGGUGAUUAAUACCGGAUACAACCACUAUCCGCAUGGGUUGGUGGUGGAAAGUUUUUUCGGUCCAGGAUGUGCUCGCGGCCUAUCAGCUUGUUGGUGAGGUAAUGGCUCACCAAGGCUUUGACGGGUAGCCGGCCUGAGAGGGUGACCGGUCACACUGGGACUGAGACACGGCCCAGACUCCUACGGGAGGCAGCAGUGGGGAAUAUUGGACAAUGGGCGGAAGCCUGAUCCAGCAACGCCGCGUGAGGGAUGACGGCCUUCGGGUUGUAAACCUCUUUCAGUACCGACGAAGCGCAAGUGACGGUAGGCACAGAAGAAGGACCGGCCAACUACGUGCCAGCAGCCGCCGUAACAC
rnacentral:rRNA from 1 species